rnacentral:piRNA from 1 species
UAGACAACCAAAGGGAGUUUAAAAUCUUGAGC